rnacentral:rRNA from 1 species
CCCUGCCAUUUGUACACACCGCCCGUCGCUCCUACCGAUUGGAUGAUGCGGUGAAGACUCUGGACCGCGCUGGGCUCUGUAUGGUGCUUCGUGUACCUCCUGGCGUGGGAAGUUGUCUAAAUCUUAUCAUCUAGAGGAAGGAGAAGUCGUAAC